GAUGAACGCUAGCGGCAGGCCUAAUACAUGCAAGUCGGACGGUAGAUUGCUUUCGGGUAAUUGAGAGUGGCGAACGGGUGCGUAACGCGUAUGCAACCUGCCCCGUACAGGGGGAUAGCCCGGAGAAAUCUGGAUUAAUACCCCAUGGGACUGUGAAGGGGCAUUUCUUUGCGGUCAAAGAUUCAUCGGUACGGGAUGGGCAUGCGUCUGAUUAGCUGGUUGGCGGUGUAACGGACCACCAAGGCGACGAUCAGUAGGGGUUCUGAGAGGAAGGUCCCCCACACUGGCACUGAGAUACGGGCCAGACUCCUACGGGAGGCAGCAGUAGGGAAUAUUGGGCAAUGGACGGGAGUCUGACCCAGCCAUGCCGCGUGCAGGAAGACGGCGUUCUGCGUUGUAAACUGCUUUUAUCUGGGAAGAAAAGGCCCAUGCGUGGGACAUUGCCGGUACCAGAUGAAUAAGCACCGGCUAACUCCGUGCCAGCCGCCGCCGUAAUAC
rnacentral:rRNA from 1 species